CGUUAGUAAAUAACGAUGGUGGAGAUGGAUUUUUUCAAAUGCCUUAAGCAUGAACAGAGUCCAGUACUCAGAUUCAAUCUCUUUUUCAGGUGUCAGUUACCAGGAUGAAAUUCAACCAACAGCAAAGAUAAUGCAUGGUGACAAAGGAGGUUUUGUUACACUGUCUUGCAACUACUCUGGUUCACCAUACAACCUCCAAUGGUAUCAUCAGUAUCCCAGAUCAGCUCCCAAAUUCCUUCUCCUCACUACAGUCUCCUCAAACCCCUCUGUAGUGAACGCUACUCCUCCAUACCCACAUCUGUCUAUUAAACUGAAUAAGGAGGCCAAACGUGUGGAUCUGGAGAUCUCCUCUGCUGAAGUGACAGACUCUGCUCUCUACUACUGUGCCCUGAUGGCCAUUGUGACAGGAAACCCAGAAACACUGCACAAAAACCUUCAUAUGUGAUUCAUACAA